rnacentral:rRNA from 1 species
CGGCUCACCUAGGCGACGAUCCCUAGCUGGUCUGAGAGGAUGACCAGCCACACUGGAACUGAGACACGGUCCAGACUCCUACGGGAGGCAGCAGUGGGGAAUAUUGCACAAUGGGCGCAAGCCUGAUGCAGCCAUGCCGCGUGUGUGAAGAAGGCCUUCGGGUUGUAAAGCACUUUCAGCGGGGAGGAAGGCGAUAAGGUUAAUAACCUUGUCGAUUGACGUUACCCGCAGAAGAAGCACCGGCUAACUCCGUGCCAGCAGCCGCGGUAAUACGGAGGGUGCAAGCGUUAAUCGGAAUUACUGGGCGUAAA